rnacentral:rRNA from 1 species
UACAGAGGGGGCAAGCGUUAUUCGGAAUUAUUGGGCGUAAAGGGCGCGUAGGCGGCCUUGCAAGUGGCGGGUGAAAUCCCUCGGCUUAACCGAGGAACUGCCUGCCAGACUGCUUGGCUUGAGACCGGGAGAGGUGAGUGGAAUUCCCAGUGUAGCGGUGAAAUGCGUAGAUAUUGGGAGGAACACCAGUGGCGAAGGCGGCUCACUGGACCGGAACUGACGCUGAGGCGCGAAAGCGUGGGGAGCAAACAGG